CAUUUUCAGUACUUUUAGUAUGUGUCAAGAAACAUAUUGAGGAGUUGUUCAUGUGUUUCUCUAUGAUUAUUUUAACGUGUGUUUUUUGCUCAGUUAAUAAUUAAUGGACAACCUUCAUUGCAAUUUGUUUUCGUUUUAAUAUUUGAAGGCAAUGUUUCCCAGAGAAAAUUAAAUUGUAAGCAAUGAUAGUUUAAUACAAUGUUUCCUGUGACCAUAAAAAAAUUGUCUGUUUAACAAAUUUGCCCAAUAUAUUUUAUUAAAAUUAUUAACCAGGUUUAUUGAUAGCAGGGGUCCAAAGUUUGGUGAGGCGACUUCCGGAGGAUCUGAUUUAAUGAGCUCUCUUAAGUCAGGCCACGAGAUCAUGUUUAAUGAUGACUCGUUCAGAAAGGCACUGACAAUCAGCAGAUAGCGUCGCGUCACGUCGUCUAGCACUUAACAGAAGCCGAGUUUGAUUCAUCGUACAAUGGUCAUAUGACCGCCAUAUGACCAUAUAUAUGCAUGAAGAUAGGAAUUGCCAGAUGACUUGAGAGACAAUUCAUACAUUCUGAAUUUAGGAGACACCGUAGAUCUUUCAGUAAAUAAAACUUGCUAAAACAAGGAAACAAAAUUCUUGGAUAUGGUUGGACACAAUGUGGAACUUCUUAUUUUCCCUGAGGUACCUUACUAAUCAAGCCAGCAGUAGUGGUGGCAAAGUAGACAAAGUGCCCCACACAAGAAUAUAAGUGAAUGGCCAACAUGGGAUACGAACCCACGACCUUAUAGUGGAGCGCCUGAUCC